rnacentral:lncRNA from 1 species
AUGAGAGCCCCCUCUUACAGCAAGAAUGACGAGUAUUUCAAGGCAGCUUCUUGCUUCUUGGAGUUAUUUUUGGAUAAGUGGCCCUACUCGGGCUCGAGGCCCACACCUGAGCAGGAGCCACAGGGGGUGUCAUCCUGGCUCUACUCACAGGAGGGAGACACACCCACUGAGGUUAGUCCCGGGGACAGAUCACACAGCUGCCAACAUGGUAGAGACUCAGCCCUGAGGACAACGGGAGCAGGAGAGGAACGUGACCUGGUGAACAGGUGCCACACAGAGAGGGACUCAGAGCCAGACGGGGCAAGUGGCCUGCAGGGUGGGCAGGGCAGUGGGGAGGUCUGGGUGGUCCCAGUGCAGGAUGGGGAGGAGGGAAAGCACCAAAGGAGGGCGGAGGCCAUAAGAGCCAUCAGAAGAUUUAACGGGAGAGGAAACUAGGAGCAGCUGACCCUGAGUGCUCACAGGAGGGUGGUGAGCCCUCCCAGGGCAGGGGUCCCACCAUGAUGAGGUGGUCAGGACUGGAGGAGUGACCUAGCAGGAGGCCUGUGGGGCUGAAAGAUUCUCAGCGCAGGAACAGUUAGCGCUUUCAUCCCCAGUCAUCCCUUCACACAUCUCACUGGCAAAUGUGCUCUUCACACAGUCUUAUAUUCAUUCUCCGUGUAAAUAAGACACUUGUUCCCCUCACAAAACAGGCCAUGUUGCUCCCUGGCAGCUGCUGCCUGGCUGGCCAGGCCACAGAGCAGCCUGGUCACCGCUGUCAGCCUCAGCUGGUUGCCAGACACUGCCAAGUACUCUCUCCACCCUCCUCCAUGGGCUGUUGCAGCCAGCGACCUCCCAGUGACUGUCAUUCCCUCAGCCAACUAUCCGUGCAUCCACCCAUCCACCUGUCCCCGUGUUCACCCAGCAAGCACUGAUUGACAGAGCCCUGGUCCAGAUGCUGGGGGCACAGCUGCAAGCAGGACUGAAAAGACUGUGCCCCAAAGGAGCUCACGGCCAUGUGGGGAAGACGGGUGAUGAGCAAGUAGAUAAAAGGCACGUGAGAACUUCACACUCAGAUAAAUGGCACAGGACAGCAAAUGAGGCUCGGGUACAGUGAGUGCAUGGCGAGCAGCCAGGGGAGGGGGGACAGGACGGCCACCAGAGGAAGGCCUGGAGGAUAAGCAUUCCCAGUGGGACCACAGCAAGCACAGAGCCCUGAGGCAGGAGUGAGAGGGGAGUAUGGAGAGUAUGGGAAGAAUCAGACACAAGGUCAGAGAGGCAGUCCGGAGCCCAGGCAAUGGACUCACGGGCCUUGAGAAGGACUUGAGGGAAGGGCCUGGGCCUGUAACGGGAUGCUCAAUGUUGGUGCUGAGUCCCAGCCGCUCUGAGCUGACCCAGGCCUGUUAGCCCCCUUAGGCGUGGGGGGAGACUGAGGCUCAGGGAGGUGCCUGCGCCUUUCUUUGCUGCUCACAUCCACCUGCCAACAGCACCUCUUCUCCAGCUGACUGGCUCUUGGAUGUGGCCCCUUCUGAACCCCAGUGGCUCAAAGGACCCUUUCUCUGCAUUGGCCCCAGCACCCCUCACCCCUGUCUGCUGUGGUUCUGAAGGUCCCUUCCAGGAGGGGACCCUGCAGCUGGACCUCCAGGGAACAAGGGGAAGGGUGUUCUAAAACAGAGGAGACAGUGAAAAGCCUGAGUCAGAGGCAGCAGUGUGGAUGGCAUGUCUGGGACACAGCAAGCAAGCACAUAGGUCUGGCGUCAUCUUGCUGUUUUCGUUUUUUGUAAAAUCAAUUCAUUUACUAAAGUGAAUAUAUUCUGUGAUGAAAUUUUAUGUUCUUACCUAAAUCACCAACAUCACUUCCCAUAAAUAGAAAGUGACUGUAAAAAGUCAGGUAGCAGGGGCACUUGGGUGGCUCAGUUAAUGAAGCAUCUGCCUUCAGCGCAGGUCAUGAUCCCAGGCUCCCUGCUCAGUGGGGAGCCUGCUUCUCCCUCUCCCUCUGCCCACCCACCCCCACACUCUCUCAAAUAAACAAACAAAAUCUCUAAAAAAAAUUUUUUAA